rnacentral:tRNA from 2 species
GGGCCGGUGGCUUAGUCCGGAUAUAGCACUGGCCUUCUAAGCCAGUGGUCUCGGGUUCGAAUCCCGACCGGCCCG